rnacentral:rRNA from 1 species
GACGAACGCUGGCGGCGUGCUUAACACAUGCAAGUCGAACGGUGAAAGGGAGCUUGCUCCCUGGAUCAGUGGCGAACGGGUGAGUAACACGUGGGCAACCUGCCCCAGACUUCGGGAUAACGCUUCGAAAGAGGUGCUAAUACCGGAUACGAACUCCUUGGCCAUCCUUGGCGCUGGAAAGUUUUUCGGUCUGGGAUGGGCCCGCGGCCUAUCAGCUUGUUGGUGAGGUAACGGCUCACCAAGGCGACGACGGGUAGCCGGCCUGAGAGGGCGACCGGCCACGCUGGGACUGAGACACGGCCCAGACUCCUACGGGAGGCAGCAGUGGGGAAUAUUGCGCAAUGGGCGAAAGCCUGACGCAGCAACGCCGCGUGAGGGAUGACGGCCUUCGGGUUGUAAACCUCUUUCAGCAGGGAAGAAGCGAAAGUGACGGUACCUGCAGAAGAAGCACCGGCUAACUACGUGCCAGCCGCCGCCGUAA